CCCUUGCCGUCUCCUAUACUACGCGUGUCGAGUCGUUGAAUGGAGUUUUCUCCUGCCUACAGCGGCUGACGGGUGACUAAUCCCCAGAACUCUGCCCGGUCUUGGGGGAUAACAUCCGGAAACGGGCGCUAAUACCGCAUACGUCCUGAGGGAGAAAGUGGGGGAUCUUCGGACCUCAGGCUAUCAGAUGAUCCUAUGUCGGAUUACCUAGUUGGUGGGGUAAAGGCCUACCAGGGCCACCAUCCGUAAGUGGUCUGAGAGGAUGAUCCUUCACACUGGAACUGACACACGGUCCAUACUACUACGGGAGGACUCAUUGGGGAAGAUUGAAUAAGGGGCGAACCCCUGAUCCAGACAUUCCGCGUGAGUAAAGAAGGUCUUCUGAUUGAAGCUUUCUUUAAGUUGGGAGGAAGGGUAGUGGAUUAAUACCUGGUUGUUUUAACGUUACCAACCUAAUAAGCACCGGCCAACUUCGUGCCAGCAACCGCGGUAAUACCAACGGUGCAAGCGUUUAUGUGAAUUACUGGGCGUAAAACUCGCGUAGGUGGUUCAGCAAGUUGUAUUUUAAUUCCUCGGGCUCAACCUGGGAACUGCAUCCAAAACAACGGAGCUAGAGUACGGUAGAGGGUGGUGGAAUUUACGGUGUAGCAAUGAAAUGUGUAGAUAUAAGAUGGAACAACAUUGGCGAGAGCGACCACCUGGACUGAUACUGACACUGAUGUGCGAAAGCGUGGGGAGCAAACACGAUUAGAUACCCUGGUAGUCCACGCCGUAGACGAUCUCGACUAGCCGUUGGGAUCCUAGAGAUCUUAGUGUCGCAGCUUACGCGAUAAGUCGACACCCUGUAGACUACCGCCCCCGGGGUUAAACUCAAAUGGACUGACACGGGGCCCGAAUAACGGUGGCACCAUGUGGUUGAUGUCGCAUGCAGCUCGAAUAACAUCACCUGCGCCAUAGACAUGCUGAGACUUUACAUCAGAUGGACUAGCUCGCCUUCAGG
rnacentral:rRNA from 1 species